rnacentral:rRNA from 1 species
UACGUAGGGUGCAAGCGUUGUCCGGAAUUAUUGGGCGUAAAGAGCUCGUAGGCGGUCUGUCACGUCUGCUGUGAAAACCCGAGGCUCAACCUCGGGCCUGCAGUCGAUACGGGCAAACUAGAGUACUGCAGGGGAGACUGGAAUUCCUGGUGUAGCGGUGAAAUGCGCAGAUAUCAGGAGGAACACCGGUGGCGAAGGCGGGUCUCUGGGCAGUAACUGACGCUGAGGAGCGAAAGCGUGGGGAGCGAACAGG